GAUGAACGCUAGCGGCAGGCCUAAUACAUGCAAGUCGGACGGGAUUGAGAAGCUUGCUUUUCAUGAGAGUGGCGCACGGGUGCGUAACACGUAUGUAACCUACCUUAAUCAGGGGGAUAGCCUCUCGAAAGAGAGAUUAGCACCGCAUAAAAUCAAUUUAUGGCAUCAUAGAAUGCACAAAUAUUUAUAGGAUUAAGAUGGGGAUGCGGAAAAUUAGCUAGUUGGUAAGGUAACGGCUUACCACGGCUACGAUGUUUAGGGGAUCUGAAAGGGUGACCCCCCACACUGGUACUGAGACACGGACCAGACUCCUACGGGAGGCAGCAGUAAGGAAUAUUGGUCAAUGGGCGCAAGCCUGAACCAGCCAUGCCGCGUGCAGGAAGACGGCCCGACGGGUUGUAAACUGCUUUUGUACCGGAAUAAACCUUUGUAUGUAUACGAAGCUGAAUGUACGGUAAGAAUAAGGAUCGGCUAACUCCGUGCCAGCAGCCGCAGUAA
rnacentral:rRNA from 1 species